GUGCUUAACACAUGCAAGUCGAACGGUAAGGCCCUUCGGGGUACACGAGUGGCGAACGGGUGAGUAACGCGUGAGUAACCUGCCCUUCACUCUGGGAUAACAGUUGGAAACGGCUGCUAAUACCGGAUAUUCAGCUCCUGUCGCAUGGUGGGGGUUGGAAAGUUUUGGUGGUGGAGGAUGGGCUCGCGUCCUAUCAGCUUGUUGGUGGGGUGAUGGCCUACCAAGGCGUCGACGGGUAGCCGGCCUGAGAGGGCGACCGGCCACAUUGGGACUGAGAUACGGCCCAAACCCCUACGGGAGGCAGCAGUGGGGAAUAUUGCACAAUGGGCGGAAGCCUGAUGCAGCAACGCCGCGUGCGGGAUGACGGCCUUCGGGUUGUAAACCGCUUUCAGCAGGGACGAAGCGUGAGUGACGGUACCUGCAGAAGAAGCACCGGCUAACUACGUGCCAGCAGCCGCGGUGAUACGUAGGGUGCGAGCGUUGUCCGGAUUUAUUGGGCGUAAAGAGCUUGUAGGCGGUUGGUUGCGUCGAAAGUGCAAACUCAGGGCUUAACUCUGAGCCUGCUUUCGAUACGGGCUGACUGGAGGAAGGUAGGGGAGA
rnacentral:rRNA from 1 species